rnacentral:rRNA from 1 species
GACGAACGCUGGCGGCGUGCUUAACACAUGCAAGUCGAACGGAAGGGCCCUGCUUUUGUGGGGUGCUCGAGUGGCGAACGGGUGAGUAACACGUGAGUAACCUGCCCUUGACUUUGGGAUAACUUCAGGAAACUGGGGCUAAUACCGGAUAGGAGCUCCCGCUGCAUGGUGGGGGGUGGAAAGUUUGGGCUGUUGGGGAUGGACUCGCGGCUUAUCAGCUUGUUGGUGGGGUAGUGGCUUACCCAGGCUUUGACGGGUAGCCGGCCUGAGAGGGUGACCGGCCACAUUGGGACUGCGGUACGGCCCAGACGCCUACGUGAGGCAGCAGUGGGGAAUAUUGCCCAAUGGGCGGAAGCCUGAUGCAGCAACGCCGCGUGCGGGAUGACGGCCUUCGGGUUGUAAACCGCUUUCGCCUGUGACGAAGCGUGAGUGACGGUAAUGGGUAAAGAAGCACCAGCUAACUACGUG